CACUCACCUGGGGAAGACACGCCCCUCCAACACUCACCUGGGGAAGACAUGCCCCUCCAAUACUCACUUGUCUCCGCCCCCUUCUCGGUUCACAGGAAGUGCCACAGGAAGACUGAGCGCAGGAGAAAACCUUCCUCCUCCUCUUCCUCAUUCUACGCCGCACAGCCUGGCCCCUCCCCCCUACCGGGCCCCUCCCCCUACCGGGCCCCUCCCCCUCCUCUCCAAGGGGACUGGCUGUGGUUCCCCCGGCCCCCCUCCUCACCAGGGGUCUGGCUGUAGUUCCCCCGGCCCCCCCCCCCUCCUCACCAGGGGGUCUGGCUGUAGUUCCCCCGGCCUCCUGCAGGGGGGGACGGAGAGCUUCCACUACAGCUCGUCUGGUUCUCAGAGGACGAGUGCGAGCGACUCCUGGGACACACCUGUACAGGUAAGACCAGGUAACAUGAGACACACCUGUACAGGUAAGACCAGGUAACAUGAGACACAGCUGUACAGGUAAGACCAGUUAACCAGAGACACACCUGUACAGGUAAGACCAGGUAACAUGCCACACACCUGUACAGGUAAGACCAGGUAACAUGAGACACACCUGUACAUGUAAGACCAGGUAACACAAGACCACCUGUACAGGUAAGACCAGGUAACAUGAGCCACACCUUUACAGGUAAGACCAGUUAGGAUGAGACACACCUGUACAGGUAAGAGUAGGAAGGAUGUGACCAGGUUGACCGCUCGGCGCAGCACUAACCCUAACCCUAACCCUCCUUCAUCAGCGUCUUCUGUCUCUUCAGGCGACCUUAGAGAGCAGGGGGCCCUGCCCACCCACCCAGAUGGGCCAAUCGGAGGCCUGGAAGCUGACCUGUCUGACGGAGAGCCAGGUGAGGCUGGAUAACCAGGUGUACGCCCAGCAGCUAGACUCCGCCCUCAGGACCCUCCCGGUGGAGAGGGGGUGGAGCCGACCUCUAGACUCCGCCCUCAGGACCCUCCCGGCGGAGAGGGGGUGGAGCCGACCUCUAGACUCCGCCCUCAGGACCCUCCCAGCAGACAGGGAGUUGAGCCGACCUCUAGACUCCGCCGACAGGACCCUCCCAGCGGACAGGGGGAGGAGCCGACCUUUAGACUGUGCCCUCAGGACCCUCCCAGCAGACGGUGGGCGUGGCCUACAGGUGGGCUACAGGUGUGUCCCCGUUGAGGAGCUGAGGCCCCGCCCCCGCUACAUCCCAGAGUCCUUCAGGGGGAAGACGCUGGCCCAGGUGCAGUGGGAGGACCAGGAGAAGGUGGAGGCGCUGGUGCAGCAGUUCAGAGGCUCCGCCUUCCUGUGCUACUUCCAGACGGAAGCCCUGGCCAGAUAUGGUGGGAGGAGCCAGUUCGAGGGGAGGCGUGGCCAGGACAAGGAAGUGGAAUCAGAGGAUGCUGCCAAGUUCCUCCCCUUAUUGGAUCACCAUGACGAUGAGGCCCCCGCAUGCACAAGGAGGAGGAGGACGAGGGCGUUCAGAGCGGCGUCAAGAUGCCAGGUGGUCAAAGUGAGUCAUGGAACCCAGACUGCCCCAUUGGUCCUCCCAUCUGUCUGUCAGCCAGUCCAGCCCCGCCCCCCCUUGCCUCCAGAGGAGCAGCCAGCCAAUCAGGAGCGGGCCGAGGGCCCGGAGGAGGAGGGGGGGCGGCUACCCCCCCCCUACUCCGCCCUGCUGGCCCCCCUGCAGCCCGGCGCCCCCCUCCUCCUCCUCCUCGGUCCCCCCGCCCGCCGGGCACCGCCCCCCGGCUCCGUCCCCCAGGCCACGCCCCCCGGCUCCGCCUCCAGCCGCUGCCGGAGGCGGAGCCGGCCGCUGGAGGCGGCGAGGUCGAAGGUCAGGUACCAGCGCCCCCCGCUGCGCUGGUACGACCCGGUCACCCGCCGUGUCCUGGGGUCACGACCCCACACGCCCCGCGGCAACACCGUCGCUAGGCAACUGUUCAGGAGCCUCAGCCCCGACCUCAACGCCCACGGGAAGGGAGGGGGGGCGGGCGGGAGGAGGAGGAGGAGGGGGGGGGGAGGAGGGGGGCACCCCCCCUGGGGUCAAAGGUCAGAUGUCGUCAUCAGACCAGACCCCGACCUUCGGCCGCCUCCCCCUAGGCACGCUCCGAGCGGAUCCCCGCGAGCACAGGACGCCCAGGGGGCGUGGCCGCAGGAAAGGGGGGAGGGGUCAGACCCCAGGGAGGGGGAGGGGCCGAAGGCGGGAGAUCAGGGAUGCUUCGUCCCGCCCCCCCCCCGGGAGGAGAGUCGGGCGGCGGGUUGGAGAACUCAGGAAAGUCCCAGGCUCUGAGGGCCCGCUGGAGGCCUCGGCUCGGAGCCCGAGAGUCCGGAGGAAGACGGGCUGCCCCUGCUGCAGCUAGGGGGCGCUAUUUAGACCAUAUAUAUAUCAUAUAAUGCAUAGACUAUAUAUAUAUCAUAUAAUGUAUAGACUAUAGAUAUAUAUAUCAUAUAAUGUAUAGACUAUAGAUAUAUCAUAUAAUGUAUAGACUAUGUAUAUAUAUCAUAUAAUGUAUAGACUAUAUAUACAUCAUAUAAUGUAUAGACUAUAUAUACAUCAUAUAAUGUAUAGACUAUAUAUAUAUAUAUCAUAGACUAUGUAU
ensembl:lncRNA